GCCUGGAUGGCUCAGUCGGUUGGACAUCUGACUUUGACUCAGGUCAUGAUCUCAUGGUUCGUGAGUUCAAGCCCCACAUCAGGCU
rfam:Felis catus isolate Cinnamon breed Abyssinian chromosome X, whole genome shotgun sequence.